UAGAGCUUAGUUAAUAAAAAAUAACAUCAGCAUGUCAAGCUGAAAUAAUCAUAAAUGAUAGCCCUAG
rnacentral:tRNA from 1 species